rnacentral:rRNA from 1 species
UUUAAAGAGAGUUUGAUCCUGGCUCAGGACGAACGCUGGCGGCGUGCCUAAUACAUGCAAGUCGAACGAACGGAGGAAGAGCUUGCUCUUCCAAAGUUAGUGGCGGACGGGUGAGUAACACGUGGGCAACCUGCCUGUAAGUUGGGGAUAACUCCGGGAAACCGGGGCUAAUACCGAAUGAUAAAGUGUGGCGCAUGCCACGCUUUUGAAAGAUGGUUUCGGCUAUCGCUUACAGAUGGGCCCGCGGUGCAUUAGCUAGUUGGUAGGGUAAUGGCCUACCAAGGCAACGAUGCAUAGCCGACCUGAGAGGGUGAUCGGCCACACUGGGACUGAGACACGGCCCAGACUCCUACGGGAGGCAGCAGUAGGGAAUCUUCCGCAAUGGACGAAAGUCUGACGGAGCAACGCCGCGUGUAUGAAGAAGGUUUUCG